UACGUAGGUGACAAGCGUUGUCCGGAAUUAUUGGGCGUAAAGCGCGCGCAGGUGGUUUCUUAAGUCUGAUGUGAAAGCCCACGGCUCAACCGUGGAGGGUCAUUGGAAACUGGGGAACUUGAGUGCAGGAGAGAAGAGUGGAAUUCCACGUGUAGCGGUGAAAUGCGUAGAGAUGUGGAGGAACACCAGUGGCGAAGGCGACUCUUUGGCCUGUAACUGACACUGAGGCGCGAAAGCGUGGGGAGCAAACAGG
rnacentral:rRNA from 1 species